GUAUCACCUAUGACCGAAACGGUGAGGGGAGUUCGAACAACAAUGGCCAAAUCAGGCGAUGUGCUGGUCGCCUAUCGUCCCUACUCCCUAUCACCGGCCGGAAAUAAAAUUUACUGCCUCGUCUGUGAAAUUCCUUCAAGAGACGAAGAAAAAACUGAGGUUUAGAGCCUCAAUCGAUCGGACACCGAGUUUGCUAUUAGCGGUUCUGAGAUUUGAACCACAAAUCGAAGGCUUGGAAGUAUGAUUAACCUCAACUCUUUUCGACGCCUCCUAAAUCAUCUUACAUGUCCCGUUCUAAACUCCUUAUCAUCUCUUCGAUUUCAUUCGUUGAUAACUACACUUCUUUUGGCAACCAUCUUCUUAGAGUGAACCAUGGAGGUUUCAUCCGAAGCAUCGAGUAAAGAGAAAAGAAGAUGAAGAAGCUACCAAUCAUCAUCAGCUACUGAUUCUGUCUUUUCACAAUUUUCAUCCGGCGAAUGUGAAGGUUUUUUACCUCUCUCUGUACACACAUAGUGCAAUAUUUAUUGUUAAUUCAUCUGCUUAAUCUUUAUGAUGUUGUUUGAAACAAGGAUAAUAUCUUUUUUGUUAAUUCGUUUGAAUUGCUUAAAAAAACCAAUAACCAAA